rnacentral:rRNA from 1 species
AAACUUAAAGGAAUUGACGGGGCCCGCACAAGCGGUGGAGCAUGUGGUUUAAUUCGACGCAACGCGAAGAACCUUACCAGGGCUUGACAUCCCCUGACCGCGUAUGAAAGUACGUUUUCACCCUCGGGUGACAGGGAGACAGGUGGUGCAUGGUUGUCGUCAGCUCGUGUCGUGAGAUGUUGGGUUAAGUCCCGCAACGAGCGCAACCCCUACGUUUAGUUGCUAACGCGUGAAGGCGAGCACUCUAGACGAACUGCCGUUGACAAAACGGAGGAAGUGGGGAUGACGUCAAAUCAUCAUGCCCCUUAUGUUCUGGGCUACACACGUGCUACAAUGGCCGGUACAGACGGACGCAAAGCCGCGAGGUGGAGCAAAUCCUAAAAAGCCGGUCUCAGUUCGGAUUGCAGGCUGCAAUUCGCCUGCAUGAAGCCGGAGUUGCUAGUAACCGCAGGUCAGCUAUACUGCGGUGAAUACGUUCCCGGGGCUU